AGAGUAGCAUUGGAGGCAGUCUGGUGCCAGCAGCCGCGGUAAUUCCAGCUCCAAUAGCGUAUAUUAAACUUGUUGCAGUUAAAAAGCUCGUAGUUGAAUUUUAGCGUGUUCGAGUUUGCCAUUCGUUUGGCUUUUUCGAGUUCGCUUUUGGGUUUUCCCUUUUUACUUUGAGAAAAUUAGAGUGUUUCAAGCAGACUUUUGUCUUGAAUACUUCAGCAUGGAAUAAUAGAGUAGGACUUUGGUUCUAUUUUGUUGGUUAUUGAACCUUAGUAAUGGUUAAUAGGAACGUUGGGGC
rnacentral:rRNA from 1 species